rnacentral:rRNA from 1 species
AAUAGAUACCCAGGUAGUCCACGCCGUAAACGAUGGAUACUAGCUGUUGGAGGUAUCGACCCCUUCAGUAGCGAAGCUAACGCGUUAAGUAUCCCGCCUGUGGAGUACGGUCGCAAGACUAAAACAUAAAGGAAUUGACGGGGACCCGCACAAGCGGUGGAUCGUGUUCUUUAAUUCGAUGAUAAACGAAGAACCUUACCAGGGCUUGACAUCCCAAGAAGGCUUCCGAAAGGAAACUGUGCCGUAAGGAACUUGGUGACAGAUGAUGCAUGGCCGUCGUCAGCUCGUGUCGUGAGAUGUUUGGUUAAGUCCAUUAACGAGCGCAACCCUUGUGAAUAGUUGUAUUUUUCUAUUCAGACUGCCCCGGUAACGGGGAGGAAGGAGGGGAUGAGGUCAGGUCUGUAUUUCUCUUACGUCCUGGGGCUAGAAACACGAUACAAUGGCUAGUACAAUGCGCAGCGAAGCCGCGAGGUGGAGCAAAUCGCAUCAAAGCUAGUCCCAGUUCGGAUAAGAGGCUGAAACUCGCCUCUUUGAAGUCGGAAUCGCU